UGGGGAAUAUUGGACAAUGGGCGCAAGCCUGAUCCAGCCAUGCCGCGUGAGUGACGAAGGCCUUAGGGUUGUAAAGCUCUUUCGGCGGGGAAGAUAAUGACGGUACCCGCAGAAGAAGCCCCGGCUAACUCUGUGCCAGCAGCCGCGGUAAUACAGAGGGGGCAAGCGUUGUUCGGAAUCACUGGGCGUAAAGCGCACGUAGGUGGAUAGUUAAGUUCGGGGUGAAAUCCCAGGGCUCAACCCUGGAACUGCCUCGGAUACUGGCUAUCUCGAGUCCGGAAGAGGUGAGUGGAAUUCCUAGUGUAGAGGUGAAAUUCGUAGAUAUUAGGAAGAACACCGGUGGCGAAGGCGGCUCACUGGUCCGGUACUGACACUGAGGUGCGAAAGCGUGGGGAGCAAACAGGAUUAGAUACCCACGUAGUCCCUGAGCGGGCUGGCAAGGCGCAU
rnacentral:rRNA from 1 species